UACGUAGGGGGCUAGCGUUGUCCGGAAUCAUUGGGCGUAAAGCGCGUGUAGGCGGCCCGGUAAGUCCGCUGUGAAAGUCGGGGGCUCAACCCUCGAAUGCCGGUGGAUACUGUCGGGCUCGAGUGCGGAAGAGGCGAGUGGAAUUCCUGGUGUAGCGGUGAAAUGCGCAGAUAUCAGGAGGAACACCGAUUGCGAAGGCAGCUCGCUGGGACGUUACUGACGCUGAGACGCGAAGGCGUGGGGAGCAAACAGG
rnacentral:rRNA from 1 species